UACGGAGGGUGCAAGCGUUAUCCGGAUUCACUGGGUUUAAAGGGUGCGUAGGCGGGUUGGUAAGUCCGUGGUGAAAUCUCCAAGCUUAACUUGGAAACUGCCGUGGAUACUAUCAAUCUUGAAUAUAGUGGAGGUGAGCGGAAUAUGUCAUGUAGCGGUGAAAUGACUUAGAUAUGACAUAGAACACCCAUUCGCGAAGGCAGCUCGCUACACUAUUAUUGACGCUGAGGCACGAAAGCGUGGGGAUCAAACAGG
rnacentral:rRNA from 1 species